UUUUUAUGAGACAAAUUGAAUAACUUUCUUUACAUAAUUAUAAAGAUGAAAAUAUCUAAUUAGCUUCAUAUAUUUUUUACCACCAGUAUUCGGUUCACUGGACCGUUUAAUAUGAUUCCGGAGUCAGUUCUGACAUCAAGUGAUUCCAAUCCUCUUCUGAUCGCAGUUGCGGAAAAUCAAACUGUGGUACUUUCUAUCAAAUUCAUCGUCAGUCACCAUUGAACUAACUAACGAUUGAUUCUAAUUAACUUUGUUUGUUUAUCACAUUUGUUUGUCUAGUUG
rnacentral:lncRNA from 1 species